ACGGGUGAGUAACACGUGGGAACGUGCCCUCCGGUCUGGGAUAACCCUGGGAAACUAGGGCUAAUACCGGAUACGUGCUUUGGCAGAAAGGUUUACUGCCGGAGGAUCGGCCCGCGUCCGAUUAGCUAGUUGGUGGGGUAACGGCCUACCAAGGCGACGAUCAGUAGCUGGUCUGAGAGGAUGAUCAGCCACACUGGGACUGAGACACGGCCCAGACUCCUACGGGAGGCAGCAGUGGGGAAUAUUGGACAAUGGGCGCAAGCCUGAUCCAGCCAUGCCGCGUGAGUGAUGACGGCCUUAGGGUUGUAAAGCUCUUUUCUCCGGGACGAUAAUGACGGUACCGGAGGAAUAAGCCCCGGCUAACUUCGUGCCAGCAGCCGCGGUAAUACGAAGGGGGCUAGCGUUGCUCGGAAUCACUGGGCGUAAAGGGCGCGUAGGCGGCGUUUUAAGUCGGGGGUGAAAGCCUGUGGCUCAACCACAGAAUGGCCUUCGAUACUGGGACGCUUGAGUCUGGUAGAGGUUGGUGGAACUGCGAGUGUAGAGGUGAAAUUCGUAGA
rnacentral:rRNA from 1 species